ACGGGAGGCAGCAGUGGGGAAUCUUCCGCAAUGGGCGAAAGCCUGACGGAGCAACGCCGCGUGAGUGAAGAAGGUCUUCGGAUCGUAAAGCUCUGUUGUCAGGGACGACACCUUUCCUCAGGAAAUGGGGGAAAGCAGACGGUACCUGACGAGGAAGCCACGGCUAACUACGUGCCAGCAGCCGCGGUAAUACGUAGGCGGCAAGCGUUGUCCGGAAUCAUUGGGCGUAAAGGGAGCGCAGGUGGGAGGACAAGUCUUUCUUAAAAGUGCGGGGCUCACCCCCGUGAUGGGGAAGAAACUGUUCUUCUUGAGUGCAGGAGAGGAAAGCGGAAUUCCUAGUGUAGCGGUGAAAUGCGUAGAUAUUAGGAAGAACACCAGUGGCGAAGGCGGCUUUCUGGACUGUAACUGACACUGAGGCUCGAAAGCGUGGGGAGCAAACAGGAUUAGAUACCCUGGUA
rnacentral:rRNA from 1 species